AAAAAAAAAAAUCAAUUUUCUUUUAUAUAAAACCCCUUUAGCGCUUCCAUUUCAACACCAUCCCUUCCCUUUCUUUCCUUAAGACUGGUAGAUUUAUGGGUUUUCUUGCUCCUUCUUCCACUUGUUUCAGUGCUGCUAAAUGGCUUGGCUUUGUCACCGCCGUUUGGGUUCAAGCCAUUUCAGGCAACAAUUACACUUUCUCUAACUAUUCUGAUGCUCUCAAGACUCUUAUGAACUUGACCCAACUCCAACUUAACAAUUUAUCCGUUGCCAAAGAUGUGGGUAAGGCCUUUGGCCUCCUUGCUGGUCUUGCCUCUGACCGCUUGCCUACUCAGGUGCUUCUUCUUAUUGGUUCACUCGAAGGUCUUAUUGGUUAUGGUGCUCAAUGGCUCGUUGUUAGUGGGCGGAUUCAACCUCUUGCUUACUGGCAGAUGUGCAUAUUCCUCUGUUUGGGAGGCAACAGUACUACUUGGAUGAACACGGCGGUUCUAGUAACCUGCAUCCGCAACUUCCGGCGAAACAGAGGCCCUGUCUCCGGCAUCUUGAAAGGUUAUGUGGGACUGAGCACUGCCAUCUUCACUGACCUCUGCUCUGCUCUCUUCUCCGACAACCCUUCUAGCUUCCUUCUUAUGCUGGCAAUUAUUCCCUUCGCCGUCUGCCUCACCGCCAUCCUCUUCCUCCGUGAGAUCCCUCCGGCUGCCACUGCCGAAGAAGAAAAAGAAGAAUUCAAAUAUUUCUCAGUCUUUAACGUUGUGGCCAUUGUUGUUGCAGUUUAUUUGUUAGCAUUUGACUUUGUCAGCAAUCCUAGCCGUGUUCUUUCUUUAGCGUUUUCAAUUAUAUUGCUAGUUCUGCUAGCUUCUCCAUUAGCAGUUCCAUUUUACUCUUUUGUAAAGAGCUGGAAUCUGAAUCGCCUGAAGAAUAAACCGGCUGACGUUGAAGAACAGAUUGAUGAGCCAUUGCUGAGUGGAGAAAUCCAGGGGGAGAUUCAAGAAAAACCGGCAGAGGCGGCGGCUGCAGUGUCAGUUGCUACUCAACCGCCGACGGAUGAAGUGGCCGAGAUAAAGAGGAAGCCGGUGAUCGGCGAAGAUCACACGAUUUUCGAAGCGAUGAUGAAGUUGGAUUUUUGGAUUUUAUUUGUUUCAUUUCUUUGUGGAGUGGGUACUGGUUUGGCUGUGAUGAACAACAUGGGACAGAUAGGUUUGGCUCUUGGAUACGCUGACGUUUCGAUUUUCGUCUCUCUUACAAGCAUUUGGGGAUUUUUUGGAAGGAUUGGUUCGGGCUCUGUCUCAGAGUUCUUCAUCAAGUAAGUUUAAUUUCUCGUCAACUUUUUAAUAGUAUCUUGAAUUAAAUUUGAUACUAAUCUCAUAUAUUAAUUAUAAAGCAUGCACACCAAAAUUAAUGUAUUUUUUUUAUUUAUUGACAAUAUUUUUAAUUCCGUACAAGAUUAGAAAAUUAAAAAAAUGACAUGAAUUCAGAUGAUUGAUGAAUUGUUUCAUGGUUUUCUACAAACUACAGGCGAAAUAUAAGUGUAAUCCAUGUGAUUGGUUUUCUAUGGUGUGGAUUAAAGUUUCCCACAGAAUUGGUCAAAAGGACAAAUGAAAUAAAGUUGAAUUACAACAAAUCACCUUGUUUUAUUUCUUUCAUAGGAGUUUCUAGUUCAGAUUUCAUGUGGUGGGCUGGAGAGAGUUAGUUCCCAUCACCAUCAGGAUACGAAUCUUGUUUGUUGAUUCUAGUUAUAAGUUGACCAAGUUUCUCUUGUCUAGGCUAGAUCACAGCAGGUGGGAAUUCAUGGUAGAUUUUGGUAAACUAGGCUUUGAUAUUUCUAUUUACUAUUAUUAUUAAUGAUAUUUGCUAUGGGUACUGCAUAUAAUAAUCAGGACAUCAUUGGUUUUGACACCCUUUUGAAUUGCAUUUAAUGGGUUAGAGGUUUGGACUCAGGUGUUGGAAUUCCUCCCCCCCUCGCUUUGUGUGAAAGAAAAAAAAAAAUAAUAAAAAGGUGUCUUAAAAGAGAGAUGAUUAAGUUCUGUUGAGGGACUUCUAGCGUGGGGAAAAUACCAAAGCGUGUAGUAAUGAAGGAGAGAAAGCAGUUUUUAAAGGUCUGAAUGAGCUGGUUUACAAAACAAACACGGUUUGGGUGAUCAGUUACGUUUCUAUCUCUCGCAAUCUAGUUUACCUAAAUUCUGUUGGCAAUUACAGUAUGCUUCACAAGUUAUAAUUGUUAGAAGGAAGGAUACAGUAUCCUUGUUUUUGGGUUGCUAUAAGAGCUGACCAACUGCUUUCUUUUUUCUUUUCUUUUGUGUACGUAUGAAUGGAGCUAAAUUACCAAAAGUUAAUUAAACAAAAGAUUUCUUGGCAACUGUUUUAUUUUUUCUUUUCUUUUGUGUAUGUAUGAAUGGAA
rnacentral:misc_RNA from 1 species